rnacentral:ncRNA from 1 species
AGGUUUUCGCGAGAAAUUAAUAGGGAAUCCGGUGCAAGUCCGGAACGAUCCCGUCACUGUGUACAGGGAGCCAGGAUACAUGAGUCCAUUGGCAUGAAGGCAGAGGUGUCUGCCGGCUGAGAAGGCGUAUUUUGGCAAUGAUCUGAAGUCAGGAGACCUGCCUGGAUAUG